UNGACAGGUUAGCUGUGGCUCCUUGGGC
rnacentral:piRNA from 1 species